ensembl:lncRNA
CCAUGCCCUGUCCACAGUGGUCACUGCUAUUCCUGGAGGGCCAUUCUGCUCUGGGGUUGGCUGCCAAGCAGACCUCUCCCCACCCUGUCAUCACUGUGCUUCACUUCUGAGGCUCCCACGUCAGCUUUGGAAAGGGCCUCCCUGCUCUUGCCAUGAACCCUGGGGUAGCCUUUCCUUGAAUUCAAGAAUCUCCCAGCUGAAGGAUCUUCAGAAGGGCACUAGCUUCCUCUUCACCUGGGCCACGUCUGGCUGAUACAGUGUCAUCUGGGACCUGUCAGGAAUGAGCAUUCUGCCCGGAAACAGCUCCCUUCUGUAGACUCUCUACGGAGCCAUCUCCUCUCAGCCUCCUGCAGCUAGCUGCCAGACUCUUCUGGUCUUCUUCAUGAAAAGCUCCUCGUUUUUUUCCCCCAAAUCCCUUAGAAGUGCUUUGACCAGUGCAAGAGAAAAGCCAUCAGUGCCUUUUAAAGAGCAGCUAGGGAACAGCACCUCAGUCAAGUUACUAGUUAUGGGAAACCCACCCUCGAUGACUUCUGGAAUGCUGGGAACCGAAUCAGCAACAUGAGCACCAGCCUCGGGCCUCACAUUCUGGCAGCUCCAAGAGCCAAGCCCAAGCAAACACAUACAAUCUGGAGAGAAGAGGAUGUGCCAGGAAGUCAAGAGGAGAGACAAGGCUGAGUGAAAGUGGCUGACUGUGGUACAGGCUUCAAGUCUUGACCUUGUGGGAAGUCGUGGACUCUGCUCACAGGUGUGAGGGCUACAGGUGCAGUGCUCUCUGGAAACUAAAUUCUACCAAGAACCACAGGAGCCCGGAGAGUGGAGAGGACCCCUGCUCCAGGAACAGAUGCAGCACAGCAGGCAGAUAUGG